CCUACGGGAGGCAGCAGUAGGGAAUCUUCCGCAAUGGACGAAAGUCUGACGGAGCAACGCCGCGUGAACGAUGAAGGCCUUCGGGUCGUAAAGUUCUGUUGUUAGGGAAGAACAAGUGCUAGUUGAAUAAGCUGGCACCUUGACGGUACCUAACCAGAAAGCCACGGCUAACUACGUGCCAGCAGCCGCGGUAAUACGUAGGUGGCAAGCGUUGUCCGGAAUUAUUGGGCGUAAAGCGCGCGCAGGCGGUUUCUUAAGUCUGAUGUGAAAGCCCCCGGCUCAACCGGGGAGGGUCAUUGGAAACUGGGAAACUUGAGUGCAGAAGAGGAAAGUGGAAUUCCAAGUGUAGCGGUGAAAUGCGUAGAGAUUUGGAGGAACACCAGUGGCGAAGGCGACUUUCUGGUCUGUAACUGACGCUGAGGCGCGAAAGCGUGGGGAGCAAACAGGAUUAGAUACCCUGGUAGUCCACGCUGUAAACGAUGAGUGCUAAGUGUUAGAGGGUUUCCGCCCUUUAGUGCUGAAGUUACGCAUUAAGCACUCCGCCUGGGGAUACGGUCGCAGACUGAAACUUAAAGGAAUUGAGG
rnacentral:rRNA from 1 species